rnacentral:rRNA from 1 species
GCAGAACGCGAAGAACCUUACCUAGGCUUGACAGUUGGGGAAAUCUGGCAGAGAUGCCAGGUCCGCAAGGGCCCCAAAACAGGCGGUGCAUGGCUGUCGUCAGCUCGUGUCGUGAGAUGUUGGGUUAAGUCCCGCAACGAGCGCAACCCUCGUCGUAUGUUGCCAGCGGAUAAUGCCGGGGACUCAUACGAGACUGCCGGGGUCAACUCGGAGGAAGGUGGGGAUGACGUCAAGUCAUCAUGCCCCUUAUGUCUAGGGCUGCACGCAUGCUACAAUGGCCGGUACAAAGGGCUGCGAUACCGUAAGGUGGAGCGAAUCCCAAAAAGCCGGUCUCAGUUCGGAUUGGGGUCUGCAACUCGACCCCAUGAAGUCGGAGUCGCUAGUAAUCGCAGAUCAGCAACGCUGCGGUGAAUACGUUCCCGGGUCUUGUACACACCG